rnacentral:rRNA from 1 species
GAUGAACGCUGGCGGCGUGCCUAAUACAUGCAAGUCGAACGCACAGCGAAAGGUGCUUGCACCUUUCAAGUGAGUGGCGAACGGGUGAGUAACACGUGGACAACCUGCCUCAAGGCUGGGGAUAACAUUUGGAAACAGAUGCUAAUACCGAAUAAAACUUAGUGUCGCAUGACACAAAGUUAAAAGGCGCUUCGGCGUCACCUAGAGAUGGAUCCGCGGUGCAUUAGUUAGUUGGUGGGGUAAAGGCCUACCAAGACAAUGAUGCAUAGCCGAGUUGAGAGACUGAUCGGCCACAUGGGGACUGAGACACAGCCCAAACGCCUACGGGAGGCUGCAGUAGGGAAUCUUCCACAAUGGGCGAAAGCCUGAUGGAGCAACGCCGCGUGUGUGAUGAAGGCUUUCGGGUCGUAAAGCACUGUUGUAUGGGAAGAACAGCUAGAAUAGGAAAUGAUUUUAGUUUGACGGUACCAUACCAGAAAGGGACGGCUAAAUACGUG